rnacentral:rRNA from 1 species
UGCGCAGGCGGCCUGUUAAGUCAGGGGUGAAAUAUGACGGCUCAACCGUCAAACUGCCCCUGAAACUGAUAGGCUUGAGUCCGAGAGAGGUAGGUGGAAUUCCAGGUGUAGCGGUGAAAUGCGUAAAUAUCUGGAGGAACACCAGUGGCGAAGGCGGCCUACUGGCUCGGAACUGACGCUCAGGCACGAAAGCAUGGGGAGCGAACG